UAAAACCAGCACCUCAAGUUGUCAGGAGGAUUAUUGGGCCUAAAGCAUCCGUAGCCGGCUCUGUUAGUUUUCGGUUAAAUCCAUAUGCUCAACAUAUGGGCUGUCGGAAAUACUGCAGAGCUAGGGAAUGGGAGAGGUAGACGGUACUCGGUAGGAAGGGGUAAAAUCCUUUGAUCUAUCGAUGACCAUCUGUGGCGAAGGCGGUCUACCAGAACAUGUUCGACGGUGAGGGAUGAAAGCUGGGGGAGCAAACCGGAUUAGAUACCCGGGUAGUCCCAGCUGUAAACGAUGCAGACUAGAUGAUGCAUUAGCAUAUAGCUAGUGCAGUGUCUCAGGGAAGCCGUUAAGUCUGCCGCCUGGGAAGUACGUACGCAAGUAUG
rnacentral:rRNA from 2 species